GUAUCUUCGGAUAUGAGUAGAGCGGCGGACGGGUGAGUAACGCGUAGGAAUCUACCUAGUAGAAGGGGAUAGCCCGGGGAAACUCGGAUUAAUACCGUAUACCUCCUUUGGGAGAAAGAGGGCCUCUCUUGAUGCUCUCGCUAUUAGAUGAGCCUGCGUAAGAUUAGCUUGUUGGUAAGGUAAUGGCUUACCAAGGCUACGAUCUUUAGCUGGUCUGAGAGGACGAUCAGCCACAUUGGGACUGAGACACGGCCCAGACUCCUACGGGAGGCAGCAGUGGGGAAUAUUGGACAAUGGGCGCAAGCCUGAUCCAGCCAUACCGCGUGUGUGAAGAAGGCCUUCGGGUUGUAAAGCACUUUAAGCAGGGAGAAAAAGCUAUAAGUUAAUACCUUAUAGCCGUGAUGUUACCUGCAGAAUAAGCACCGGCUAAUUCCGUGCCAGCAGCCGCGGUAAUACGGAAGGUGCAAGCGUUAAUCGGAAUUACUGGGCGUAAAGCGCGCGUAGGUGGUUUGUUAAGUUGGAUGUGAAAGCCCUGGGCUCAACCUAGGAACUGCAUCCAAAACUAACUCACUAGAGUACGAUAGAGGGAGGUAGAAUUCAUAGUGUAGCGAUGGAAUGCGUAGAUAUUAUGAAGAAUACCAGUGGCGAAGGCGGCCUCCUGGAUCUGUACUGACACUGAGGUGCGAAAGCGUGGGUAGCGAACAGGAUUAGAUACCCUGGUAGUCCACGCCGUAAACGAUGACAACUAGCUGUUGGGAGACAAUGUCUUUCAGUGGCGCAGCUAACGUUUUA
rnacentral:rRNA from 1 species